rnacentral:rRNA from 1 species
CACGUAGUUAGCCGGCGCUUUUUCUGCAGGUACCGUCACCCGAAGGCUUCUUCCCUACUAAAAGAGGUUUACAACCCGAAGGCCGUCAUCCCUCACGCGGCGUUGCUGCAUCAGGCUUGCGCCCAUUGUGCAAUAUUCCCCACUGCUGCCUCCCGUAGGAGUCUGGGCCGUGUCUCAGUCCCAGUGUGGCCGGUCACCCUCUCAGGCCGGCUACCCGUCGACGCCUUGGUGAGCCAUUACCUCACCAACAAGCUGAUAGGCCGCGAGCCCCUCCCGAACCGAAAAAUCUUUCCCACCAUUGACGAUGCCGUCAUGGUGCGUAUCCGGUAUUAGACGCCGUUUCCAGCGCUUAUCCCAAAGUUCGGGGCAGGUUGCUCACGUGUUACUCACCCGUUCGCCACUAAUCCACCCCUGCAAGCAGGGGCUUCAUCGUUCGACUUGCAUGUGUUAAGCACGCCGCCAGCGUUCAUCCUGAGCCAGGAUCAAACUCG